rnacentral:lncRNA from 1 species
UUAGUAGAGAUAGGUUUCACCGAAUUAGCGAGGAUUGUCUCGAUCUCCUGACCUCGUGAUGUGCCCGGCUCGGCCUCCCAAAGUGCUGAGAUUACAGGCAUGAGCCACCAUGCCCAGCCAAUCAUCUCCUCUUUUACAUAAUGGGUUUUUCCUCACUUGUGUGCCCAUGGCUUGCUGUCCUCAAAUUAAUGCUAAAGAUAGCAACCUGGAGGUUAAGCCAAUAUGGGAAGGGAACAAGGAGAAACAAUGGGGAAGAUGAGCCAGAGAGUCAUUCUGGGGACUGAGGAUUUGCCUUUUUGCCAUAAGCGCUGGAUAGAUAGCUGAUGUCAGGUGUGGCCAGUUGAAUUCAUUCGACCAACAGUUGUUGGACUCCUGCAUGCUUGUGCUCUCCGUCUCUCAUAUAUAUAUAAUAUAUAUAAAAUGUAAACAUAUAUGGGCCCUGUGUGUGCAGUGAUGAAAGACUGACAUGGCUCUGCCUUCAUAUUAUUUAUUUAUUUUUAUUUUUUGGAGAUGGAGUCUCACUCUGUCGCCCAGGGUGGCAUGCAGUGGAGCGAUCUCAGCUCACUCCAACCUCCACCUCCCAGAUUCAAGAGAAUCUCUUGAACCCAGGAAGUGGAGGUUGCAGUGAGCCGAGAUUGCGCCACUGUACUCCAGCCUGGGCAAUAGAGCAAGACUCUGUCUCAAAAACAAAAAACAAACAAAACCAUACACGAACAGAAAUUAAAAAUGGUAGAAUUUAAAUUUCAUUUUCUCCUACCCUGGGCACACAUGUGACAAAAUCCAGUGUAUAUCGUUCUGAACAGUCUCAGGGUACAGCCAUUUUAUAUUGCACAAGCUGUAAAAGUAGUAAUUUUCAAACUAAACUAUUACUUAAAAUGAUCACAAGUAUUUAAAAUGUUUAAAAUAAAGAUCCAACCCAGUUCACUUGGGAAAGUUUGGCAGUUCCUUAAAAUGUUGAACAUAGGGUUAUCAUAUGACGCAGCAGUGAAUUAACCAAAUAAAUAAGACAUGUGAUAGAGGUAUAUACACCCAAGAGAAUGCAAACAUGUCCACACAAAGGCUUGUACAUGAGUAUUUGUAGCAGCAUUAUUCAUAACCAAAAUGUGGAAACCCAAAGUCCAUCAACUGAUGAAUGGUUAAACAAAAUGUCAUAUCUAUACAGUAGAAUCUGUAAAAAGGAAUGCAGUACUGAUACAUGCUUUCUGGAUGAACCUUGAAAACAUUAUGCUGAGUGAAAGAAUUCAGUUGCAAAAGGUCAUUUAUUGGCCAGAAUAGGCAAAUCGAGGAAACAGUUCCCAGGUGCUGGGGGGAGUGGAGACUGGAGAAUGACUGCUAAUAGGUACUGGGCUUCUUUUGUGGGAAGAUGAAAAUGUUCUGAAAAUAGAUGAUGGUGAUCACUGCACAACUCUGUAAUAUAUGAACCAGCUAUUUAAUUGUAUAUUUUUAAAGGGUGAACUUCCCUACUUGCUUCAGCAACAUAUAUACUAAAAGGGUGCGUUUUGUAGUAUGUGAAUGAUAUCUCAACAAAGCUGUUGGGGAAAAAAAAAAAAAAAAA